UACGGGAGGCAGCAGUGAGGAAUAUUGGUCAAUGGACGCAAGUCUGAACCAGCCAUGCCGCGUGCAGGAUGACGGUCCUAUGGAUUGUAAACUGCUUUUGUACGAGAAGAAACACUCCGACGUGUCGGAGCUUGACGGUAUCGUAAGAAUAAGGAUCGGCUAACUCCGUGCCAGCAGCCGCGGUAAUACGGAGGAUCCAAGCGUUAUCCGGAAUCAUUGGGUUUAAAGGGUCCGUAGGCGGUUUAGUAAGUCAGUGGUGAAAGCCCAUCGCUCAACGGUGGAACGGCCAUUGAUACUGCUAAACUUGAAUUAUUAGGAAGUAACUAGAAUAUGUAGUGUAGCGGUGAAAUGCUUAGAGAUUACAUGGAAUACCAAUUGCGAAGGCAGGUUACUACUAAUGGAUUGACGCUGACGGACGAAAGCGUGGGUAGCGAACAGGAUUAGAUACCCUGGUAGUCCACGCCGUAAACGAUGGAUACUAGCUGUUGGGAGCAAUUUCAGUGGCUAAGCGAAAGUGAUAAGUAUCCCACCUGGGGAGUACGUUCGCAAGAAUGAAACUCAAAGGAAUUGACGG
rnacentral:rRNA from 1 species